UACAGAGGGUGCGAGCGUUAAUCGGAAUUACUGGGCGUAAAGCGUGCGUAGACGGUUAUGUAAGUCAGAUGUGAAAGCCCCGGGCUCAACCUGGGAAUGGCAUUUGAGACUGCAUAGCUAGGAUGCGGAAGAGGGAAGUGGAAUUUCCGGUGUAGCGGUGAAAUGCGUAGAUAUCUGGAGGAACACCGAUGGCGAAGGCAGCCUUCUGGGCCAACACUGACGCUCAUGCACGAAAGCGUGGGGAGCAAACAGG
rnacentral:rRNA from 1 species